ensembl:miRNA
GGUUGGUCAAAAAGAUCGUUCGGGUUUUUCCGUAACAUCUUAUGGAAAAACCCAAACAAAGUUUUUGACCAACC